rnacentral:rRNA from 1 species
CCGUGAGGGAAAGGCGAAAAGAACCCCUGUGAGGGGAGUGAAAUAGAACCUGAAACCGUGUACGUACAAGCAGUAGGAGCACCUUCGUGGUGUGACUGCGUACCUUUUGUAUAAUGGGUCAGCGACUUAUAUUCAGUGGCAAGGUUAACCGUAUAGGGGAGCCGUAGCGAAAGCGAGUCUUAACUGGGCGCUCAGUCUCUGGAUAUAGACCCGAAACCGGGUGAUCUAGCCAUGGGCAGGUUGAAGGUUGAGUAACAUCAACUGGAGGACCGAACCGACUAAUGUUGAAAAAUUAGCGGAUGACUUGUGGCUAGGGGUGAAAGGCCAAUCAAACUCGGAGAUAGCUGGUUCUCCCCGAAAGCUAUUUAGGUAGCGCCUCGGACGAAUACUACUGGGGGUAGAGCACUGUUAAGGCUAGGGGGUCAUCCCGACUUACCAACCCUUUGCAAACUCCGAAUAC